rnacentral:rRNA from 1 species
GACAGAGGGUGCGAACGUUGUUCGGAAUUACUGGGCGUAAAGCGCAUGUAGGCGGCAGCGCAAGUCGGGCGUGAAAUCCCACGGCUCAACCGUGGAAGUGCACUCGAAACUGCGCAGCUAGAGUCCUGGAGAGGAAGGUGGAAUGCUUGGUGUAGAGGUGAAAUUCGUAGAUAUCAAGCGGAACACCGGUGGCGAAGGCGGCCUUCUGGACAGUGACUGACGCUGAGGCGCGAAAGCUAGGGGAGCAAACAGG